AAAGUGGGUUUUCCUAGCCUUUGUAGGGAGGGGAUGAGGAUGGGGAGGUGGUAAACAUCCUGCUCCAGCGUGUCCUUCUGGCAUCACGCCCUGGGGGCCGUAGUGUGAGAUGCUGAUGGGAUCCCUGGAGCUAGCCCCGCCCCUCCCUAGGCACAGCCAGGCUGUAAACAUGCCCUCAUUUUGGACCAUGGGGCUGGGAGGAGGAACUGUUUUGAACAAAGACCCCACUAGGCAAACACAGAGGUCAGUCUCCCAAUAGUCCCCUGUGGGUGGAACUGAUGCUCAGCCAGUAUACCUCGGGAAGACUAUCCAGUUGAUAAGAUCUUGAAAUACUUCCCUACCAGGUGGUGAACAGCCACUGUCCUGCCCCCACUAUACCCCUUCAUGGCCCCAAAUGCCCAGGCCCCUCUGAGCCGGCCCACGAAGACCUGCUGCUCUGGCUUGCUCCAGCACCACAGGUGGUCUGCAUCAAGGUUGCAAAAUAGUUAAAAUAUCAACCCUGCCUGCAGGAAAAGGAGAGAAGGACAUCAGGUUAUCUUUUUAGAUGCUUCAUACUGUUCCUGGGCUUGUUAAAUCUCUGGCUAUCCUGGCUGAGCACCUUCUCCAGCCAGGAAACCCUUCAGGCCGAUAGCGUAGCAGGUGCCUGAGACAGGAAGCUAUCUGCACGUACAGGAAAUGCCCCCUAAAGCUGCAGUGGACCUCAGGGAGGGCACCAACAGCCUCUGCUGCCAUGCUAAGCAUGGGGCACUGAUGAGCAGCGAGAAAGGAGCUGAGGGAGGCGAGGACAUCAUUCAUGCCAUGGCAGGAUGGACUUGGUCAUCAGAGAAGUCCUCUUGGAAGACUUCUUGGAGGAGGCAGGGCCCCUGCUUGGGUCUUAAAGGAGGAAGAAGGAGAGGAGAGGGGGGACCUUCCAGGAGGAGCUGCCUGAAGCAAAGGCACCAAGAAAACUAUUUUUCAUUUGGAGUUCCCCACCAACGAUACUAAGGGACAAGCCACAAAUAUGAACUCUUUGCACACAAAGGUGAUGGCUCCAGGAAAGGGCAGAAGAGGAAUUUCUUUGUACUCAACCCAGAGGCAUCUUAGUGGGGUGGGGGUGGGCUAAAAAGGAAAGGAAGUCGCUGUGGCCUGCCCCUGGGGUUCCCUGGGGAGCAGGGACUUAAUUGAAACCGUGGAAGGAAAUUUGAUACCCAGGCAUGAGGGGCAAAGGGCCCAACGGCCUCCAGGCCCUGUGUUUUCUUACUGUCAUCCUCUUAAAGUGACCCAGGAAGUUUUCCCUGAUAGUCACAUUCCAUCCUGUCAGUCCUACCACAGCGGUUUAUUUCAUGAUAUAAAUUCAAUUACUUCAACUCACCAUAGUUAACAGUCUUUUUAACAGUCUUUUUUUAAAUUUACAUCAGAACCUCUCUGCGUAUUUAUCAAGCACAGCCACAGGCAGGAGUUCUGAACGUGGCCUUCGUGCCGAUCGACCCCACUAACAGUCUGGGGAAGCCUACAACACUUCACAGAAUAACGUUGCGGUUGUUGUAACAGUUUUAUUGAGAUAUAAUUUCCAUACCAUAAAGUUCAUGCAUUUAAAGUGAACAGUUCAAUAGUCUUUAGUAUAAUUUACAGAGUUGUGCAACCAUCACCAGAAUCUAAUUUUAGAACAUUUUUCUUCACCCAAAAAGACACCCGAUUCAUAGCCACUCCCCAUCUCCCCUCACCCCAGCCCCUGGCCACCACUCAUCUGCUUUCUGCCUCAAUGGGUUUGCUUAUUCUGGACGUUUCAUAUAAAUGGAAUCGUAUAAUAUGUGAUCCAUUAUGACUGGAUUCUUUCAUUUAACAUAAUAGAUUUGAAAUGUAGCCAUGUUGUAGCAUCUUUCAGUACUUCAUUCAGAAUGAUGCUUUAAAUGCAUAAAAUAAAAAAACGUAGGAUUCCAAAGGAAAAAAAUUUAUUGAAACACAGUUAAAGUAUUUUUUAAAUAAAUUUAUGAUUUGUAUUUCAUUAAUGCUUUAAACGACAACAUGCAGUGGUGGGCGAAACUACAAUUACUAAGUAGUAAAGAACGUAAACAGUCUUUGAGAGAGCAGCCACAACUGUUAUGUGGUAAGAAAAUGUCUGUGAUGUCUACAUCACAAAGUCACAGAUUCUGCGAACACUGCUGUGGUCUGUUGCCUACAUUCACAAUUGAAGGAAGUGCUACAACUCAGUUAAAAAUAAGCAAAAGAUGGGAU
ensembl:lncRNA